GUUAAUUUAUAUUUGAUCUAAGGCUGUUUGGUUUGGGUUUUUAUUUUUUCUUGCUGUACUAUUUUGCCAGGCUCCUCAUGUGACAACCUGUCAGCUCAAGAAUUCCAGUGUUAGUAUGGGCUGGUGUUUUGGACACAAUGAAGGGAACAAGACAAAACAGGGAGUGUACAGAAGAGACUGUAGCAGUAAGAGUCAUGCUUUCAGCUUCCCCAGCCAUCCAAGUUUAUCUUGUUUGUCCUUCUGCAUUUCUGAUGAAGAAUUGGGAAUGAAGAAAGAGAACUCGUGCAUAAUUGUGUGGGUUUGGUUUUUUUCUUAGAAGCUCUGAUUGCUGCAUGUGCCUUCCACAUGGACCAGUGCAAAAACUAAAAGCAUCUGCAAAACAGGUUUGUUUUAUCCCAUGGUUGUGUCAUGGCUUGCACAAUCUUGCAGAGCAUGAACAAAAUAAAUUUCCCGAGUGCAAGAAAAGUCAGUAGCUGGAAAACUGCCCUUUGUCAAUUGUCUGCAGUUUCUCACCUCGCUGUUGCCUAAACCUGUUAGUGAUGGUGAGUUUGGAGUAUGUAAAACAAAAAAAGCAGCUGCGAGCACACUGGCACUGUGUGUGGUUACAAAUUCAGAGCUGGUGGUGUCACAGUGAAGGAGGGACUCUCACUGCCUGUACAGCAGUGAAAGGGUGCAUGGUUUGGUGCCUGUGAGGGACCUGGAAUGUCAGAAAGGCUUUGUCACGGUGUGUGAAGCCUCCCUCUGCAAGCUCUGCCGUGCGGAGGGGACACAGGCACAGGACAUGGAGACACAAUGAGCUGUGGAAUUCAUCACAGUCAAGAAAAGGCCUUUGCUAGCUGGGAUAAGAGGUGAGGAGAUCACGGUGAGAGUUGUCCAAGGCAAGGAGCAGGAAUGCCGGGGCCUCCCUGUGCUCGGGUCUCCUCCAGGUUUGGGAUCUGAGCCCCGGGCGAUGCGAGGGCGCGGAGCUCCACCUGCUGCAGCAGCCCGAAAAGCCAUAACCAUUCCCACAGAAAACUUUCCUGUCCUUUCCUUAUGUCAUCUUCAUGUAUUACUUUAUGAUUUUUUUUUUAAUUUAUUGCUUCUUACAUACGGAGUUGUAUGAGCAGCUUCUUUUUUUUUUUCACAUCAGGAAAUGAUCGCUGCAACAGGCUUAAAGCAAAUUAGAUGAGCUAUAAUGAAAGUCUUCUUAAGCUGAAAACACUAAAAAAACAAAACAACCCACCAACACCCAAGCUGCAAAGAGUCUUCAGACUGUCACAAUAAUGUACUGUUGAGUUUAACAAAUGAGACACUCCAGCAACGUUUUCUGGUUUUAUAAUGCACGCCAAAUUAAAAAAAAAAAAAAAAAAAAAAAAAAAAAAAA